rnacentral:RNase_P_RNA from 1 species
GGAGUAGACUGAGUGACUGCGGGUAUAUGUUUUCGUAAGAUAAUACGCGAGGAAAGUCCGGAUUUCGCAGGGCUUGGGUGUCGGGGAAAAGCCGCCGUGGGCGAUUCUAGGGAAGGUGCAACAGAAAAUAUACCGCUUAGAUUUAUUUAAGUAAGGUUGAAAAGGCUGAAUAAGUGAUCGCUGUUUGCAUUGAGAUACUUUACAGGAUUUGUAAACCCUACCUAAGGCAACACCGUACUAAUUAAUUCUAACAUCAUAGUGUUUGCACGACACUGUUAGUUUUUGAAGGCGGUACUGAUUUUUUUGGCAACAUAAAACUAAGAUAGAUGGUCAUUAUUGACAGAACCCGGCUUACAUGUUUACUCUUUCU